rnacentral:lncRNA from 1 species
CCUGUGUUUUGUUUUGUUUCCUUCACUGGGGAGACUUUCCAAUGAGACUUCCUUUCCUCCCUGUGCAGUUUCUGAGAUAGACAAAAUUCCUGCAGGCACAAGGGACCUGUGUCUUCCUGUGACUCCCCACUAAAGGGACUGGACAAGAGAGCCCCAGUGGAAAGGAGACCAACCAGGCAUAAACAGACCUUCUCACAUAUAAUAGAGCAGAACCUUCACUCUAAGCCAGCAUACAGAAAUAACCUAUUUUGUUGCAUUUUAUAACAACCCACUCUCUGGGAAGAAUAGAUGUGUCUUCUUUUUCAAAACCAUUAGUAAAUAAUUAAAAGGGAGAGGCAAAAUAUUCUCUAAAGAUAACCUAGUCCUUGGUUGCCAUGGUAACACAUUUCCUAGGCCAAAAGCCUUUUCCUUUACUUGUAGAAAGAAAUGAAAAUGCGAGCGAGGAAUCUGUUUUUGGGAAGGAAGGAUGGGAUUUUGUUGAUAAGGUGUAGAUGUCUGUGUGUUUUAAAUUCAAGUUAAACAUCAGAGCGUUACAUAACAGAAGCUGGCUGGGAUUUCUAUAGACACAAAUUGGUGGCAGCACCUUCAGAUAAAUGAGGCAUUGAAUAUUUCAUAAAAUGAAGGCCAGGCGAGAUUGUGGAUUCAUAGCUGGGAUAACAGAUUAUAGUUUUUCCAACAGCAUAGAUUUUGUCUGUACCCAAACAAUUCAUCCAGAUUAGUUGCCAGGUACACAUACUAAAUGGCUGAGUGUGCAUUCUUUAGGGUGACUGUGUCAUUUGAAGGGGUAUCAGAGAACACUGCUCUAUUUGUCCUCUGAAGGACUGUGUAAUCAAGGUCUACUUUAAAGAUAAAGAACAAUGAGAAAGAGCAGGGUUUUUGAAGUUGCCUAUCAAUAGUUAACACCAGCAGAGCAGACCAAAGAGGCACACAGGUCACCUGGUCAGUCUGCCUCCAGAUUUGUAUCUAAACAUAUAAAUUGCCAUAUGCAAAUUUUAUGCAACUUUUUUUGGUGAUGCAUUAGGGGCCACCUGAGGACACUUAUUUAGGAGGAAGGGACAACUGCUUUUAUCAUCAAAUUAAACCUCCUAAGAAGGUGGGUCACCUUAGAAGGUUUGGGAAAGCACCUUCUCUGGUCAUUGGCCAAGCCAGAAGCCCCCCAACAAAGACCCUCCUAUUGUAAGGUUAUGAAAAAUGUGCAAACAAAAUGUAAGGGCUCACAAGACAAAAACGGUUAUCAAAAUAACUGAAAUGUAUGAAGCAGAAAACCUGCUUGUGAACAUGAGAUGGUGCUUUCUCAAACAUGACAACUGGAGACCCAGCCUAGCACCACUGGAGAGUGGGAAUUACUUCUAAUUAAACAUGCAUAGAAUCAGGCUCUAAGCAAUGCAGGUUUGAACCCUGCUCUACUCUUUGAUGGCGACCAUUCUCAGGGCAGAACAACACUUUACAGUACAAACACAAGCGGGCCCAACACUAAUACAGAGACAAACGGGUGGGCAAAGGAAGGGUUAAGCACCCCUUCUGAAUUCCUCAGACUUUGCAGCCACUCUCAAUACAAGGAAAUUAAAUUCCUAGCUGCUUUUCAUGUCCACCUCUCCACUAUUUAAGGCUACAUUUGAAAUAACUGCAGACAACAUUAUACACUGCAUAUUUUGUCUUUGCGUGUGAGUGGGCUUUCUCUCCACAUUUCAAGCAUAUCUAGGUACAAUUUCAUAUAUUCAGUUCACACCAUGACAUUUUGGAAUGAUAUUGUGAGCGUGCAGAUGUGCAUUGGGCUCCCCAUUGAGUUUUGCAGGGAUUUUCAUAGGCAACAUCCAAUAGGAAUGUAAAAUCCCUACCUACUAUUUUGGCAGGCAGUGUGAGGUCUACUGUGCCUCUGUUGGUUUUUGGUACGGGAGCUGAUGUUGUCGUCUGACAGCUGUCCAAAAGCAAAAAUGGCUGGAGAUUCCCUGAUGAACAGAAUGAACUGGCCCCUGAACGAUUUCAGCAUGGGGUGGGGAUGAUGAAGUUGAUCAAUUUCAGUCUCAUUAAAAUGUUUUGGUAGAGACUGCUUCCUUGUCCCUUGCAGGGGGGGGGGUGUGUGAUUUAAAGAGGGGCUGCCUUUUCUCUCCCCAUGACAGUUUUAUGCUUGAAAAAGAAAAUAGGUGGGAAACAUGCCACAAAAUUCAGCACAAAAUAAACAUUUAAAAUCAACACUGCUGUUAUUGCUUUAUUAACGCAGACCAGUGGCUUAUCUGAAGAGGUGGGGAUUUCAGAUCUCUUAGGGGAUCCCAGAGCAUUAGACACACUGCUCAGUUCAGCUUCUGCACUCGCUAAGGAACAUGUAUUACUUUCCGAGGUGUGAUGCCAUUGUAAUUCCAUCUCCAUUUGGUAUUUACUGCUUCAUCAAAUAUAAAGAACAAAACAACUGUUUUGACAUACAGACCAGCAGUGCCCUUGCUUCUUACGUUACAGGGGGCUACAAUCAUGGCUCUUUAAAGGGCCUUGACCCUUGGCGCAAGCCCCAAAAUUGCAGAAGGGGUCCACAGAGGUAGGUGUGGUCCACUCUAUGCAGCAGAGGACAGGAGUGCCCUGCUCUGAAAGCAAGCUCUCCUCCCUAUGCACCUCUCCCCCUCCACCCCAAUGGCAUGUGCCUUUCAGCGAAGAGAAACAUGGUAGCAGGAAAGGGGAUCGUUUCCUACUGUUGUUUUCCCAAAGCCCUUUAAGUUGGCUGCCAACUUUUCCACCAGCACCUGUAGAUGUGCCAUGAAACAGUGCUUCGAUCUGCAGCAAUAAGCAAGAGAGAGAUUCCAUCUCCAUGAUGGGAAAAGCUUCACCUGCUGAUUUCUGUGGAUCAUGCUUCUGCCAAAGGAGCCUGCCAGGUUGCUCCCACCCCUGGGUCAGUUGGCAACACUAAGUUGCGUCGCUGAAUGUCCUACCCCUGCCCUGAAAAAUAAUAAUAUAUGCUUUCCAGAAAUCAGUCUUCCUAGCAGAGGGCUUGGCUAGUGGUAGAAAAAGCAAGACUGGAUACAAAGGCACCCUGAAAGGGGGAUUGAAUCACUGGGAAUGAGUUACAUGAUAGAGAAAGAAACGGACCUCUCUGUUUUUUUGAGAACGAUCCCUAUGACUGAGCAGAUUUCGUCUAACCAGCCACUAUAUCUAACCAGCAACGGGCCACCACCCUGGUGAUCAAUCCACCCUGUUUGCAAAGCACAGAAAAGGCGAGCAACAAUCCUUUCAAACAUUCACUGGUGAAUAAAUAACCCACUGUAUUGCAUAUACACAUACAUUUACACACAUGUACACACACAUACACACACUCACUCACGGCCAAACUACAUGUGACAUUAUACAUGCAGUUUGGUGUUGUGUGUAACUUUUAAAGACCAUAAAUAGCUGAUGUGGGGCCAAAUCACGAUGACUGACACUGCAGCACCUGGGGAAGCAGUUUAACUCUUUCCUCCUGCCCCCCACAAGUUGCUAUUUGGCAUCAGAGGGAAGUACUCAAUGGAGCCAGUGGGGGGCUUCCUUCCUGUGUCAAAAAGCAGCUUGAGGGGGGCUGUCAGGGUUAUGAAACAAGGGGAAAGGGUUAAAGCCGCCCUGCAUGCAUCGUGGUCCCAAUCCAUCCUGCUUCCUGCCUUUCAGCAGCAGCAGCCAUUUAAAGUUUUUAAAAGAUACAUGCAAUGCCAACCACAGCUGCAGUUUGGCCCUCUCCAUCAACUUCUGCUGUCGGGGCCCAAAAAGGUGCAGACUGUUUUGAA